AUAGAUAUAUCCCACGCUGUUGGGCCCGUGGUGUAAAAAUGACAAAGCACCUGCUCCUUUAAUUCCUUGUCACUCCACUCCCUUUUCCUUUUCCUUUUCCUUUCCCAAGUUCUCUGCUCUAAUUUUUAGUUACGUUCUGAGAAUGAUGCUCGCUGACGGCGUGCUAAAAUUAGCCUCCAUAUAUAUGAAUUGCAGCUGAUUGUGGCAUCUCUUUGAUGUCCCCCUCCACCUUCCACGCCUCAUUCAUUUAUUAUCGCCGCGGAGGUUGAGCAAUCACGCGCAUCAGGGUCAAUGGCGGUAUACGAUUACGUAGCUAGGAUUGAUAGUGCUGCCCAACCGACAGUUAGUGGAAUAGCAAGUGGAAAACGAGAAACUAAAUUAACACGGAUUGCAUGGCAUGAUCAAUUGGUUUUAGGUAUAUAAUUAAUUAACUUACCCCUUGCCUAAACGUGUCCAACUCGAUCGGUAUGGAGUCAACGCCCGGAUAUUUGAGGCUCGGUGAAUUUUCUAUCAUGGAUCUAAUCUUUAAACCCCGUAGGCCGAAAUACUCCGAAAGGGCUUUUGGAGAAUGCAUGCACGGUGCAUCUCCCUUCGAUUGACCUGCUAUCCCAUGCAUGCUUUAAUCAACCUUAUUAUACCAACCACAGCUAUCUGGCUAUACAUACAUAUAAUUAAUAUCAUCCAGGGUCGUUUACUAGCUAUUUACUAAUUAGAAGACCGGUAAUUGUAAGCACAAAUAGUGUGUUUGUGUUUGAUAUACGAUGACUUGUAUUGGUAGAAACCCCAAAGUUGGUAGAAGCUAGGGACUAUGGGUUAAAAUUAAAGCAGAUCGAGCAUCAAAUUAAUGGGCUGCGCGGACAAUUAAGCAGAGGCCCCUAGCUAUAGAAGUGCUCUGUCUGUGGAGAUCUGGAGAGUGGAGAUCGAGUAAAAUGGCACCCCGCGCGCGCGCACGACGGCGCAUGGUACAGGUGUAGGCCUGCGGGUCUCGGCCACAACCUGAUUACUGAUCAAAAGCUAGCUUGCUAAUGGGAUCAUCGUAGAAUGUUGGUCCAAUGCUCCAUAUAUAAGGGACACGAUCGAGUACUACGGAUAGAAAGGCCCAACCAUGACCUGAGAUCAGUUUGAGUCCCAGCUGCAGAAAGAUCUUCAUCAUUGGGAGGCCUGAGAACGGUGGAUUUUUCUUUUUUAUUUAUUUUUUCUUCCUCCAGAAAAAUCGAUCCUCCGAUAUUGUGGAUAUAUAUAUAUA